rnacentral:rRNA from 1 species
GACGAACGCUGGCGGCGUGCUUAACACAUGCAAGUCGAACGCUGAAGCUCAGCUUUUGUUGGGUGGAUGAGUGGCGAACGGGUGAGUAACACGUGAGUAACCUGCCCCCUUCUUUGGGAUAACGCCCGGAAACGGGUGCUAAUACUGGAUAUUCACUGGUCUUCGCAUGGGGGUUGGUGGAAAGGGUUUUUCUGGUGGGGGAUGGGCUCGCGGCCUAUCAGCUUGUUGGUGGGGUGAUGGCCUACCAAGGCUUUGACGGGUAGCCGGCCUGAGAGGGUGACCGGUCACAUUGGGACUGAGAUACGGCCCAGACUCCGACGGGAGGCAGCAGUGGGGAAUAAUGCACAAUGGGCGCAAGCCUGAUGCAGCGACGCCGCGUGAGGGAUGGAGGCCUUCGGGUUGUGAACCUCUUUCGCUCAUGGUCAAGCCGCAACAAUGGUUGUGGUGAGGGUAGUGGGUAAAGAAGCGCCGGCUAACUACGUG